rnacentral:rRNA from 1 species
GACGUAGGUGGCGAACGUUAUCCGGAAUUAUUGGGCGUAAAGGGUGCGUAGGCGGGUCUUUAAGUCAGGGGUGAAAUCCUGGAGCUCAACUCCAGAACUGCCUUUGAUACUGAGGAUCUUGAGUUCGGGAGAGGUGAGUGGAACUGCGAGUGUAGAGGUGAAAUUCGUAGAUAUUCGCAAGAACACCAGUGGCGAAGGCGGCUCACUGGCCCGAUACUGACGCUGAGGCACGAAAGCGUGGGGAGCAAACAGG